CACCUCUGCAUUGCAUGCAGCCUCAACUUUAAUUCUGGCAGAAAGUAAAGAAGGAGCAGGUUUGCUGGACACGGAAGCAUGGAUCCCCUGACAUGUAAUGUCUUGCAGCUGCUUGUCUCCUUUCUUCUCUAUGGGAAAGACCCACUGCUGGAAGUCGACCCCAGGACCUUCUGGCUGCAAGAUGGCGCCAGAGACCUCCUCUGCAUACUGCUAUUCCACAGUGGUGGGAUUGUGUUACCUCAUCAUCUCUACAUACGUAACAUAGCCAGCAGUCAGGGAGCUGACGGAGAGCAGAACACCAACGCCCUGAUGUGUGUCUAAAACCUCGACUGCAAGCAGUGCUGUCCCAGGGAUGCAGCCAAUUGUUAAAAAUUUGCUCUGCAGCUAGGCAACAAGCUUGAAAUGUACUGCUAGUCACUAUCUCCAGUGAGAAAGACAAGAGGCAGUCCAGCAGCAGAUGGCAUGACCCCCACGGAGCCCUGAUCUCAACAUCAUGGAGUUCGUCUGGGAUUAUAUAAAUAAAAAGUAGUUACACUGGGAGCCUCCUUCCACAGAACUGUGAUCAGUUCCUCAAAAACCUUCAAAUGAGCUACAGGAUGUUCCUCACAUCUUACAAAAAAGCAGAUUUUCUGACACUUGGUGCUGUUUUAGAGUCCGCUUCUACAUGAAAAAUGGUUUAAGAAAUACCUAUAUUAUUACUAUUAAAACAAACACACAGUGGCUUGCCAAAAUAUUCACAAUAGUUAAACCUUUUAAUGCUGUGUCACUUUUACAACCACAAACAUCACUGUCUUUCAUAACCAAGACAGAGUAAUACAUCAGCAUGAAGUGAGAGGAAAAUGAUACGUGCUUAUAAUUUUUUUCUGUGGUAUGUUUCUAACUGCUUUCCAUCUAGAAACUGAAAUGGCUGCUUGUUCUUCUUUGCAAAGUGGCUCAUGCUCAGACUUCAUGCAGAGAAUCUUUGAGCAACAGUUGCUAUCAACUGACUUUCUUCUUUUCCUCUUCCAUAAAGACCAAGUUUAUGGAGAUCAUGACCAAUAGUUGUGCUGAUUCUCUCACCUGAGCUGUGGAUUUCUGCAACUCCUCCAGUGUCACUACUGGGCCCUUGGCUGCUUCUCCGUACUCUGUGACAUUUUGAAAGCUUAACAUAAUAUAUCAUAACCUA